rnacentral:lncRNA from 1 species
UCAGUACAAAGGAGUGACUUAUGAGGUAAUGUGAGAGGGAGCAGUGUGUGUGUGUGUGUGUGUGUGUGUGUGUGUGUGUGGUAACUAUACUGUUACUGUACUGCUUCCCAACAGAUUUCUGUGUGUUGAGGGGACUAACGUGAUUAAAAGCAUGGGAGGUUCAAGAAAAGAGAGAGCGAGAGUAUAUACAAGAUCUAUUUGUGAGUGUUUGUGAGUCUGUUGUGAUGCUAAUAUGUUGGUGUGUGUGUGUGUGUGUGUGUGUGUGUGUGUGUAGGUUGGAGAUCGCUGGUCAGACCCCUCAGAGAAGUGUGUAUUAUUUAGCUGCACUAACAGCGGUACUCUGCAGGAGAAGAGUGUGUGUUCUCAGGACGGCUGCCCAGAGGAGCUUCGUAUCUGGGAUGAGCAUCACUGCUCUUAUGUAUGUCAGAGGCAUGCUGGUUUGAUGUCAUACGCAAGCCUCCUACUAAAGCAAGGCAGAGGUCACCACACCUGCGGCCUGCGUCUCACCCAGGUGAACCUGACAGUGGGCUCCUGCUUCACCUCCGUGCAGCUGCCCACCUGUGAGGGACAGUGUGAGGAUCGCUCCAGGUGGCUGCAAGAGGGCGGAGUCCUGCAGCUAGAGAGGGCGUAUCCUCUGUGCCAGGAGUCCACCUGGGAGGAGCGUGUGGUCGACCUGACGUGUGACGGACACACGCCGACUCUGUUCAGUUACAGACACAUCACUUCCUGCCACUGUGACACCGGCUCCGUGCACAGCACAUCAGCAGAAGCGCCCGAACAGGAGCUCCAUGACUGAACAUGCCUUGGGAUCCAAACAGCAGAACCACCAGCAAAAAUCACACAAAUCACCCAAAUCAGUCAAUUAAUUCAGUCAUAUUUCAGUUUCAUGUCAUUUCAAUUAUACUGAUCACAGGUAAUUCAGGUCAGUUGUGAAUUGGAACAGGGUGUGAAUUACUGGCCAGCAGACAACUUACUUUCACAUCACUUAAUUUUUCUUGCCCUUUAUCUAUGUUCUAGUUUGAAUUGAUGGAGGUGAAAUCUAAAUAUGUCCAACUUUCAUAGUUUUCAGUAAUGUAUGACAGUGUCACAAUAAGAAAGCAAUAGGCCAACAGAAGGAGUAGAUGCAGGUAAAAUAACAUAAUAUUGAUGACUAAAAAUAUAACUGAGAUUACAAUGUUACAAGUCCAAAAUAAAAACGAUAA